CCUACGGGAGGCAGCAGUGGGGAAUAUUGGGCAAUGGAGGCAACUCUGACCCAGCAACGCCGCGUGAAUGAUGAAGGUCUUCGGAUUGUAAAGUUCUUUUGUCAGGGACGAAGCAAGUGACGGUACCUGCCGAAUAAGCCACGGCUAACUACGUGCCAGCAGCCGCGGUAAUACGUGGGUGGCAAGCGUUAUCCGGAUUGACUGGGUGUAAAGGGCGUGUAGGCGGGGAGGCAAGUCAGAUGUGAAAACCACGGGCUCAACCUGUGGCCUGCAUUUGAAACUGGUUUUCUUGAGUGCUGGAGAGGCAAUCGGAAUUCCGGGUGUAGCGGUGAAAUGCGUAGAUAUACGGAAGAACACCAGUGGCGAAGGCGGAUUGCUGGACAGUAACUGACGCUGAGGCGCGAAAGCGUGGGGAGCGAACAGGAUUAGAUACCCUAGUAGUC
rnacentral:rRNA from 1 species